GACGAACGCUGGCGGCGUGCCUAACACAUGCAAGUCGAGCGAAGUGAGUACUACGGUACGAACUUAGCGGCGGACGGGUGAGUAACGCGUGGACAAUCUACCCUGUAGACUGGGAUAACACAUCGAAAGGGGUGCUAAUACCGGAUAAUGUCGAGAAGCGGCAUCGCUUCUCGAAGAAAGGAGAAAAUCCGCUAUAGGAGGCCGCGUACCAUUAGCUAGUUGGUGAGGGUAACGGCCCACCAAGGCGACGAUGGGUAGCCGGCCUGAGAGGGUGAACGGCCACACUGGAACUGAGACACGGUCCAGACUCCUACGGGAGGCAGCAGUGGGGAAUAUUGUGCAAUGGGGGAAACCCUGACACAGCAACGCCGCGUGAGCGAAGAAGGCCUUCGGGUUGUAAAGCUCAAUAGUAUGGGAAGAUAAUGACGGUACCAUACGAAAGCCCCGGCUAACUACGUGCCAGCCGCCGCGGUAACAC
rnacentral:rRNA from 1 species